rnacentral:rRNA from 1 species
AUUGAACGCUGGCGGCAUGCCUUACACAUGCAAGUCGAACGGUAACAGGUUAAGCUGACGAGUGGCGAACGGGUGAGUCAUGUAUCGGAACGUGCCCAGUCGUGGGGGAUAACUGCUCGUAAGAGCAGCUAAUACCGCAUACGACCUGAGGGUGAAAGCGGGGGAUCGCAAGACCUCGCGCGAUUGGAGCGGCCGAUAUCAGAUUAGGUAGUUGGCGGGGUAAAGGCUCACCAAGCCGACGACCUGUAGCUGGCCUGAGAGGACGACCAGCCACACUGGGACGGGGACACGGCCCAGACUCCUGCGGGAGGCAGCAGUGGGGAAUUUUAGACAAUGGGCGCAAGCCUGGUCCAGCCAUGCCGCGUGCGGGAAGAAGGCCUUCGGGUUGUAAACCGCUUUUGUCAGGGAAGAAAAGGUUCUGGCUAAUACCUGGGACUCGUGACGGUACCUGAAGAAUAAGCACCGGCUAACUACGUG